UACGGAAUGUGCAAACGUUAUUCGGAAUCACUGGGCUUAAAGAGUCCGUAGGCGGCUUGUUAGGUGAGGUGUGAAAUCCCUCGGCCCAACCGAGGAAUUGCGCUUCAAACCGGCAAGCUAGAGGAGGAUAGAGGUGGGCGGAACUGAUGGUGGAGCGGUGAAAUGCGUUGAUAUCAUCAGGAACACCGGAGGCGAAGGCGGUCCACUGGGUCCUAUCUGACGCUGAGGCGCGAAAGCCAGGGGAGCAAACGGG
rnacentral:rRNA from 1 species